AUAAGAAGACGGGAAAUAAAUACGUUGGCCAUUGAAUAGGCUGAUAUUCCUUUGGACCAGCUUCGCUUCUUCUUUUUCUUCUUUUUCUUCUUGUUUUGGCUCCUUAUUUCCGAAAUUAGAAGCAGAUAGAGUAAGAUAAGAGAGAAGGUAGAUU
rnacentral:ribozyme from 1 species